ACGUUACUGUGGGGAUUCACACAGGCCGUUUCUCAAACGGAAGGCUGCAUCCUCCGGAGGUCGCAUUUUUAGGCUGCAUAUUUCAUAAAGACUGUCUUAUUUUAGAAUAUUAACAAUUAUAAAGUUGACUAUUAUUCUUGUUCAAUCGUAAAUUGUUGUAAUAUGCUUAUGACUUGCGAACGUAAUGCUCAGUUAACUGAAAUAAACCAGGCUUGAUGACGUAUGCAGCAUGCAUUUGCGACCUUCAGAGGAUGCCGCCUUCCGUUUGAGAAACGGCCACAGUCCUCGCAAACACGAGAAUACAUCAGAAGGAUGGAAUGUCACAGGCCAAUCGAUUCACACCGCGCUUCCCCAGAAUGAUGAACUUUGUACAAAUCGACCAAUUACAGAUGAGCAGGUCUUGGUGCUACAAAAAUUUAAGUUAUCUGUGUUGCAACAGAAAGAGAUGGAGCACUGAUGUAGAGUUUAGAAGCAGAGAAGUGACAACCUGUUGUCAUCUCUAAGGGAGGGCCAAUUUAGGAAGUUUGUCAGCGUCUUCUUCCUUCACCAGCUUCAAAGAUGAGGUUAAUAAGUCCAGAAAUCUUCCGCAAGCGACCGGUGGUGGACGGGAACGUGGUACAGUAAGAUUAGACCAUGUCCUCAAGUGCAAGGCUAAAUGGCAUGUUAUGUUUUCCACUACUGAAUGCAGUAUAACCAGGUCUGGCUACAGUAUGUGUCAACUCAGCAGUGAAGAGUGCAUCUUCGGGCCUCAACAAAAAUCAAGAUGACUACUACACUACACAUAUUUUGAUGUCUUCAGCCAAUCCAUCAAAUGAAUCAAAUCUCUCUAGCGUGAGGAUGAGGAACAGAAGUCAUGGAAGUUAUUUCUCUCAUUCUGCAUGGGUGAAGAAGCAGUCGGGGGCAACGUGAUACCCCUGCCUCAUGCCAAAGUCUCCCUCCGCACCCACGGUGCCAGCUGAGUAUGACGGCAGAUCCACCCAGGCUAACAUUCAGAUAUAGAAGACAAUGUUUCUGGGCUCUGUUGCCCGGCUUUGAAGGUGACAUCUCAUCAGGGGAGGGCCGAGCCAUCAAAGCAAUCAUGUACUUUAAUUACAGGUAAUAACCCUCCAAACAUGCGUCUUCUGUAAUCACCAAAUUGCCACAAUUAAGGACGAAAAUGCAGCACGAACAGACGCCCGCGUUAAAUGACACGUGUGUAAUGUAGAAACAAGAGAUCUUGCUCUUCAGAGACAAUUACAGCCAAAGCCUGCAGUCUCAACGCAGGCCUUGAUACCAUAAGAGAAACAGAGAUAGGUGCUGUGGUUCAGCGAGAGAUGUGAUUGGUCAGUUAAAAAAAUAAUUAAUACAUGUGAUUGGUGAAAGCAUUCAGUUAUUGGGAGGCUCAAACAUGUGAGUAAUGGAGACAUUUAUUUUGCAAUAAUAUGCACCUGUCUAUAAUUUUAUUACCAGACUAAAAUAAAUUUACUGUAAAGCCAUGGUUAAUUUUCAUAAGGGUCUUUAUAUUAUAUAAAAACACAUUAAAUCAAGUUUUGGACAUUUAUUUUAUAUAUACAGUUAUUUAUUUAUUUAUUGUCUAAACCAUAUAAUAUACAUCUAAAAUCCAAGUCUUUAAAACCAACAGCAUGGCCUUUAAUUUAUAUGGUUCACAAUGUUGCAUUCUUCUUCGCCACUAGAGGGCACUGCAGCCAAAGGGAAAACGCAUCUCGCGCGCACAUGAGCAGAAUAAUAAACAUCAACAGAUGUUUAUGAAAGACGUCACGCCUGUCUCCUCACCACAAAUGCAUUAUUAAAAUCCAAUUUAACGUCGCUUCAAUCCUGUUUGUCGCCAUCAAUUCCAAUUAUCCCCUCAUCCUUAUAAAAUGUGUUUUGAAGAAGAUGGGUGAAAAAUCUCACCACUUCACAAUGACGCGUCCUUGAGGCUCUGAGGAAAGGCUCAAACGUCAGUGUGCUGCGAAAGAGAGAGAGAGAGUGAAAUAGCUGUGGUUGUUGAAGACAGAUUUUCAGCUCUCCAUCAGUGAAUUUAGACACUGUGUCGGAGGAAUCAAGCGGUGUACACUGCCUGUUACAGUGCAUCAUGGGAUUGAAUGAGUGCACUCAAUGUCCACUGUAAAAAAUACUCCAAAAUGGCUGUCUGGGCGUCAAGGUACCAUUUUCGUUUUUUGGGGGGGUUAAGUUAGGAGGUCUGAAGUUAGGAGGCAUGUUGUCUCUGUAUAACUAUAAUUAGGAGGAUUGGAGCCAUAUCUUGCUUAUAAAUUAAAGGGACACUCCACUUUUUUUGAAAAUAUGCUAAUUUUCCAGCUCAUUUUAAAACUUGACUCUUCUGUAGUUACAUCGUGUAAUAUCAUUGCGCCUCCUGCAGCCAUGUUACGCCAGCAAAGUCCUUGAUUAUUACGCCAGAAUGAGAGUAUAGUUCCUAGCCAUAUCUGCCUA